AUUGAACGCUGGCGGCAGGCCUAACACAUGCAAGUCGAACGAGUGGCGGACGGGUGAGUAAUGUCUGGGAAACUGCCCGAUGGAGGGGGAUAACUACUGGAAACGGUAGCUAAUACCGCAUACCAUCGGAUGUGCCCAGAUGGGAUUAGCUAGUAGGUUGGGUAACGGCUCACCUAGGCGACGAUCCCUAGCUGGUCUGAGAGGAUUCCCAGCCACACUGGAACUGAGACACGGUCCAGACUCCUACGGGAGGCAGCAGUGGGGAAUAUUGCACAAUGGGCGCAAGCCUGAGGCAGCCAUGCCGCGUGGAUGAAGAAGGCCUUCGGGUUGUAAAGUACUUGCAGCGAGGAGGCGUUACUCGCAGAAGAAGCACCGGCUAACUCCGUGCCAGCCGCCGCGGUAAUAC
rnacentral:rRNA from 1 species